GGGGAAUUUUGCGCAAUGGGCGAAAGCCUGGCGCAGCAAUACCGCGUGAGUGAUGAAGGCUCUCGGGUCGUAAAGCUCUGUCAGAGGGGAAGAACCUCCUGUCGUCUAAUACGCGGCAGGCCUGACGGUACCC
rnacentral:rRNA from 1 species